AGUUACUGGAGGAGCUUAAUUUAUUAGGCUGAGAGGGCAAUUUAUUAUUUGUCGACUCCUUAAUAUACCUGAUCUGGAUAAUGCCAGCGGAGGGAAAGACAUA
rnacentral:ncRNA from 1 species